rnacentral:rRNA from 1 species
UACGUAGGGUGCAAGCGUUAAUCGGAAUUACUGGGCGUAAAGCGUGCGCAGGCGGUUCGCUAAGACCGAUGUGAAAUCCCCGGGCUUAACCUGGGAACUGCAUUGGUGACUGGCGGGCUAGAGUAUGGCAGAGGGGGGUAGAAUUCCACGUGUAGCAGUGAAAUGCGUAGAGAUGUGGAGGAAUACCGAUGGCGAAGGCAGCCCCUGGACCUGUACUGACGCUCAUGCACGAAAGCGUGGGGAGCAAACAGG